AAAGCCCCCUUCGGGGGGCAAGUAGAGUGGCGCACGGGUGAGUAACACGUAGGUAAUCUACCUUUGGAUGGGGAAUAACAACCGGAAACGGUUGCUAAUACCGCAUAAUGCAGCGGCACCUAAUGGUGACAGUUGUUAAAGCGGGGGAUCGAAAGACCUCGCGUCUGAAGAGGAGCCUGCGGCGGAUUAGCUAGUUGGUAAGGUAACGGCUUACCAAGGCUAUGAUCCGUAGCCGGCCUGAGAGGGCGGUCGGCCACACUGACACUGACAUACGGGUCAGACUCCUACGGGAGGCAGCAGUCGGGAAUUUUGGGCAAUGGGCGAAAGCCUGACCCAGCAACGCCGCGUGAAGGAUGAAAUCCUUCGGGAUGUAAACUUCGCAAGAACAGGAAGAAUAAGUAGGAGUUAAUAUCUCUUACGAUGACGGUACUGUUUGUAAGCUCCGGCUAACUCCGUGCCAGCAGCCGCGGUAAUACGGGGGGAGCAAGCGUUGUUCGGAUUUACUGGGCGUAAAGGGCGCGUAGGCGGCCACCGCAAGUCGACUGUGAAAUCUCUGGGCUUAACCCAGAAAGGUCAGCCGAUACUGCGGGGCUAGAGUGCAGAAGGGGCAACUGGAAUUCUCGGUGUAGCGGUGAAAUGCGUAGAUAUCGAGAGGAACACCUGCGGCGAAGGCGGGUUGCUGGGCUGACACUGACGCUGAAGCGCGAAAGCUAGGGGAGCGAACGGGAUUAGAUACCCCGGUAGUCCUAGCCUUAAACGAUGAAUGCUUGGUGUCUGGGGUUUUAUAGUCCCCGGGUGCCGUCGCUAACGC
rnacentral:rRNA from 1 species